GGCCCCCGGACGCCGAGCCGCCGCCGCCGUUUCAGACGCAGACCCCACCGCAGAGUCUGCAGCAGCCCGCCCCGCCCGGCAGCGAGCGGCGCCUUCCAACUCCGGAGCAAAUUUUUCAGAACAUAAAACAAGAAUAUAGUCGUUAUCAGAGGUGGAGACAUUUAGAAGUUGUUCUUAAUCAGAGUGAAGCUUGUGCUUCGGAAAGUCAACCUCACUCCUCAGCACUCACAGCACCUAGCUCUCCAGGUUCCUCAUGGAUGAAGAAGGACCAGCCCACAUUUACCCUCCGACAAGUUGGCAUAAUAUGUGAGCGCCUCUUAAAAGACUAUGAAGAUAAAAUUCGGGAGGAGUAUGAGCAAAUCCUCAAUACCAAACUAGCAGAUGUGUCAUGAAGCUUUGUCACAUAUCUGGGUACCAGGUUUGACCUCAAGAGAUGGCUGCUGUACACUUUUUGCAACUGGUUUGAUGUCACAUUUCAGCUCCAACUUUGCAUCCUGAGAACACUUAAACGUUUCUGCAGGUCCAUUUUAUACAACUUGAAAGACCGUAAAACUUUCUGGUUGCCACAAGCAUAUCUUUCUUUUCUGCUCAUCCAAUAAACAGCUGUGCCCUACUGUGAUAGAUUUUCCAAACAAAAAUACCUGGAGCAGCAGUUUAGCAAAAUAUGCCUUCAGUGGCAUUCAACAAAUGGAGUUUCCCCAAGCACAGUUCUGUAAGA
rnacentral:lncRNA from 10 species